rnacentral:rRNA from 1 species
AGGCUGGGUGUGGAAGUGCAGUAAUGCAUUAAGCUAACCAGUACUAAUUGCCCGUACGGCUUGUCCC